rnacentral:rRNA from 1 species
UACAGAGGUCUCAAGCGUUGUUCGGAUUCAUUGGGCGUAAAGGGUGUGUAGGUGGCGCGCUAAGUCGGGUGUGAAAUUUCGGAGCUUAACUCCGAAACUGCAUUCGAUACUACCGUGCUUGAGGACUGGAGAGGAGACUGGAAUUUACGGUGUAGCGGUGAAAUGCGCAGAUAUCAGGAGGAACACCGGUGGCGAAGGCAGGUCUCUGGGCUGACACUGACGCUCAUGCACGAAAGCGUGGGGAGCAAACAGG